rnacentral:rRNA from 1 species
UACAGAGGGGGCAAGCGUUAUUCGGAAUCAUUGGGCGUAAAGCGCGCGUAGGCGGCCCUGUAAGUCCGUUGUGAAAGUCAAAGGCUCAACCUUUGAAAGCCGAUGGAUACUGCAGGGCUAGAGUCCGGAAGAGGCGAGUGGAAUUCCUGGUGUAGCGGUGGAAUGCGCAGAUAUCAGGAGGAACACCAAUAGCGAAGGCAGCUCGCUGGGACGGUACUGACGCUAAGGCGCGAAAGCGUGGGAGCGAACAGG